GACGAACGCUGGCGGCGUGCUUAACACAUGCAAGUCGAACGGAAAGGCCCUGCUUUUGUGGGGUGCUCGAGUGGCGAACGGGUGAGUAACACGUGAGUAACCUGCCCUUGACUUUGGGAUAACUUCAGGAAACUGGGGCUAAUACCGGAUAGGAGCUCCUGCUGCAUGGUGGGGGUUGGAAAGUUUCGGCGGUUGGGGAUGGACUCGCGGCUUAUCAGCUUGUUGGUGGGGUAGUGGCUUACCAAGGCUUUGACGGGUAGCCGGCCUGGGAGGGUGACCGGCGACAUUGGUACUGAGAUACGGCCCAGUCUCCUACGGUAGGCAGCAGUGGGGAAUAUUGCACAGUGGGCGGAAGCCUGAUGCAGCAACGCCGCGUGCGGGAUGACGGCCUUCGGGUGGUAAACCGCUUUCGCCUGUGACGAAGCGUGAGUGACGGUAAUGGGUAAAGAAGCACCGGCUAACUACGUG
rnacentral:rRNA from 1 species